rnacentral:rRNA from 1 species
AACGAACGCUGGCGGCAUGCCUAACACAUGCAAGUCGAACGAGACCUUCGGGUCUAGUGGCGCACGGGUGCGUAACGCGUGGGAACCUGCCCUUAGGUUCGGAAUAACUCCCCGAAAGGGGUGCUAAUACCGGAUAAUGUCUUCGGACCAAAGAUUUAUCGCCUUUGGCUGGGCCCGCGUUUGAUUAGCUUGUUGGUAGGGUAAAAGCCUACCAAGGCGACGAUCGAUAGCUGGUCUGAGAGGAUGGUCGGCCACACUGGGACUGGGGUACGGCCCAGACUCCUACGGGAGGCAGCAGUGGGGAGUAGUGUACAAGGGGCGGAAGCCUGAUGCAUCAACGCCUCGUGCGGGAGGACGGCCUUCGGGUUGUAAACCGCUUUCGCCUGUGACGAAGCGUGAGUGACGGUAAUGGGUAAAGAAGCCCCGGCUAACUACGUG